rnacentral:lncRNA from 1 species
AAUAAACCAACACACUAAGUUAGAAAAAUUGUGGAAGGAAAAGAAGGAAAAUUGUACGUACUAAUGGAGCAUCUUCCCUGAAAUCAUGGAUCACAGGAAAAAACACUAUGAUUUCACUAAAUUAAGGUACAAAAACCAUGGGACAACACACUAGAUCCGUUGCCAAUCGAGCAGGAUGUGACACAACCCCUUGGAAAAAGGUGAUACACGACUAUAUAUAUAGAACAACGGAUCAGGAGGAACACAGUAGAGUAAAAAUUCACAACAGGUCAGAAGAGUUUUGGAUUUAAGCAAAAUAUGGACGGGCAAAAUCAGGAAAGAUUGUCAUUUCUCAAUAUGUUGGUUUUGUUGGAUAAACAUUACAUAAUUGAAUUGAAGUUGUCACUCAAUUACUCGAGGACAAAAUCAUCAAUCACAACUUAUGUAGCCGCUACAACCUUAUCUACACAAACAAAAUCUUUAGGUAGGCAUAUGAAUAUCUGGCUCUAAUUUCACAAGUUCACUACAACAUACUAAUUAGAUCUGUCAUGCAACACUAUUAACAAACAAUCAUAUAUAUGCCAGAAGUUGAAAGAUAUAAUAAAGGUGGAGAAAGGGGUUACCAAGUAUAUGGCUCAAGGUAUUAACAUCUGGAGGUAGAGGAACGGUGCGAGGACCUUUGAAAACUUGUUUACAAGACUGGAAAAGAUUCUGCAGCACAAACGAAAAGGAAGGGAGAGUUGGUGGUGACCUCUUAACCUUCUUCUUACAACCUCUCUUUCUAUCAACAAGUCUCCGGCCACCAUAUCCUACCCUUUUCAUAUGUCUAGUAAUAACUUGGUCGC